CGUAGGCUGUUAUGCAAAAGUAUAGAAAAAGACUGAGGUACCCCCUCUUUCCACUAUGCUCACUACAUAACUUGAGUUCGUUAGGUGGUCUCAGAACUUCUAAUGGAGGGGUGAAAUCCGUUGAUAUUAAAAGGACUUUCAGUGGCGAAAGCAUUGACCAAUUUCGAUCUGACGCUAAGGUACGAGAGCGUGGGGAGCAAAGAGGAUUAGAGACCCUCGUAGUCCACGCCGUAAACAAUGAGUGUUAAACAUCUUACGGGCUGCACUUUGUGUGGUCGUUGGGGGUUUUAAGCUAACGCGUGAAACACCGCCUGGGGAAUGUGGCCGCAAGGUUAAACUCAAAGGAAUUGACGGAGGCUUAUACAAGG
rnacentral:rRNA from 1 species